CAACGUGCUCAGAACAGAAGGGCACGUGGACAGCAUACAAUCAAAACUAACUGCUCUUUAUGAAUGAUAAACAGCAGCCAAAUGUGAUUUUUACUACUCUAUAUCACACCUUUUUUGCUAAACAUGUUUUAAAAACAAUUAAAUGCUAUACAAUAAAGCAUUUAAUUGCUUAACAACUGGCAGUACAAGCUUCAGGGUCUGACCUAAAACUAGCAUUGCCCCUUUCGACAUCAUCUCAUGUAACCUGCACAACAGCCCCCAUUGUGUUCUGCCAACAGAUUUCUCCAGAAAAGAAAAGACCGGGUAUUCAAAUGGAGACUAACAAGGACCUGAGAACUGUACUAGGAAGAACUGGUGAAUAAAGCACUGUAAACUCAUCCUCAGUGGCUGUCCUUCUGAAUUGGUGCCUUUGGAGACAAAAAUACAUAUUUUCUCUCUGAAGAGAUCCCACAGCUGUGUGAGGGUCCUCCCUGGAUUCCCAGCUCAGGCCAGAGCAGCCAAGUAGCACUCCCAGGAGAGGAGGAGAUGGCCCAUGGGCAAGCCUCUGGCUUCCGCAGUCUCUGUUGGUGGUCAUCCUUGGAGGGACAGGACUCUGGGGUCACAGAGGAAGACUUCCUCAAACAUUUCAACCGGGGCUUCAAGAAUAAGUAGGACUGGAUAGACCACGAAGUGAGAAGGUGAGCGACUCUGGCAGAGCUCUGCAAGACUCUGUGAAAAGGCAUGAAAGGGCCUCGCAUUGGGGGAAAUACAUGUACAUGCACAUACAUGCAUAUACAUACACUGAAUAUUAAAUAUAUAUGAUAUAUAUCACAAAUAAUGUUAUAUAUGUAUAUAGAUGUACAUAAAAUGGUGUUAUGUGAGUAUAUACCUACAUGUUAACAAUGGUUACUUUUGGUGACAAAUAAAAAU
rnacentral:lncRNA from 1 species